rnacentral:tRNA from 1 species
UAGCUCAGUCAGUAGAGCAUAGCGCUAAUAACGCCAAGGUGGCGGGUUCGAUUCCCAU